rnacentral:hammerhead_ribozyme from 1 species
GCAUUGCUGAAGAGUCCCAAAUUAGGACGAAACAACUGUCUAGUGU